GAUCGUUGGGUUAAGUCCCGUAACGUAGCGCAACCCUUGUCCUUAGUUACCAGCACGUUAUGGUGGGCACUCUAAGGAGACUGCCGGUGACAAACCGGAGGAAGGUGGGGAUGACGUCAAGUCAUCAUGGCCCUUACGGCCUGGGCUACACACGUGCUACAAAUGGUCGGUACAAAGGGUUGCCAAGCCGCGAGGUGGAGCUAAUCCCAUAAAACCGAUCGUAGUCCGGAUCGCAGUCUGCAACUCGACUGCGUGAAGUCGGAAUCGCUAGUAAUCGUGAAUCAGAAUGUCACGGUGAAUACGUUCCCAGGCCUU
rnacentral:rRNA from 1 species